CCUACGGGGGGCAGCAGUAAGGGAUAUUGGUCAAUGGGGGAAACCCUGAACCAGCAACGCCGCGUGAGGGAAGACGGUUUUCGGAUUGUAAACCUCUGUCCUCUGUGAAGAUGAUGACGGUAGCAGAGGAGGAAGCUCCGGCUAACUACGUGCCAGCAGCCGCGGUAAUACGUAGGGUGCGAGCGUUAUCCGGAUUUAUUGGGUUUAAAGGGUGCGUAGGCGGAAUAUCAAGUCAGCGGUAAAAAUUCGGGGCUCAACCCCGUCGUGCCGUUGAAACUGAUGUUCUUGAGUGGGCGAGAAGUAUG
rnacentral:rRNA from 1 species